CACGCUUCCCAGAGAACUGAAAUAGAAGAAAAAGCAAUAUGCGAUGGCUGAACCAAAAUCCAGAUUCAAGCUGGGCAGGAACCAUCCUGUGGAUUUCUUCUUUUCCCUGGAGUCUUUUUGAUUUUCUUUCCCCCCUCUCUUUUUCUGCUUAGUUUGCCAGCCAGUGGUGUCUUGAUCUGUUUCUUCUCCAGAUUCCUCUUCUUCCUCUUGGGCCAACUUCUCUUGUUCCCAAUGAAUAUCAAGUUGAGGCGAAAGGGAGCUGUGAACUAAAAUACCAUCUUAAGCUGAUGACCUCACUAUCCCUCCAGAUGAGGAGUUCUUGAGCUGGCCUUUGAGUUGGUCAAAUCAAGGCUGCAUUCUUAUGGAAAGUGAUUCUUCUGGUUUCUAACAGUACAACCCUAUAUAUAUUUGCUAUUCAGAAUUGUCUCAUUGAGUGAAAUGGGCCUUUUUCUCAGGCUUUGGCCAUGUUCCCUGAGUUACCAAUGUGUGUCCAUGUUUGACUAGCUCCCUUGGGAUGGUUUGUUAAGCCUUUCAAGAAUUCCCCAUUGUGAUUGCCUGAAGAAUUGUAUCAGGAAUCUUUUUUCUCCCUUCAUUGGGUUUGGAACUCGUUUUUGGAACCGUUGAGAUGGCAGCCGGAAAACCAGGUUGUUAUUGAGAGAGGACACCUGCUGCCCAACCAGUGAUGUUUAAAUCUUGGGGUUUCUUCAAUGAUAUUUAUGGACAACUCUCACUUCCACUCUGAAGGACAAACAGAAUAAAAAUAAAAUGAAAAGGUCUAUUGAAAUAGGAUU